GAAAUGCGAUACGUAGUGUGAAUUGCAGAAUUCCGUGAACCAUCGAAUCUUUGAACGCAAAUUGCGCCCGAGGCCUCGGCCAAGGGCAUGUCUAUCUCAGCGUCGGUCCCUCCUCGCUCCCCCUUUAUGCGGGCUGGAAGCGGAGCUGGCCGUCUCGGCAAAAUUUGCCGUGUCUGCCGAAGCGCAUGGGCUCUAGCGGCGCCCCAUUCAACGGGCAACAGCUAAAGGUAGGUGGCUUUCGCCGCAUACCGCUGGUGACCGGGGGCUGCCGCUGUCUGCCGGCAGGAUGCUGCCUAACCCAGCUUUUGCUGCGCGCAGCAAUUUUCCUUUUCGACCUGAGAUUAGACCAGACCACCCGCUGAACUUAAGC
rnacentral:misc_RNA from 1 species